GAAAAUCGACUGUUGCUUCUCUAUCAAUGUAUGCGUGUCACAUACACGCGAAUAACAACAAAAUUGGCAACAACAAUGUACUUCCUUGGAAUAUAUUAGUAUUUGAUGGCUGUUGAUUUUCGACCGGGGGGCAGGUGGUUGUGGCGGAGCAGUAAACGGAGUAAAUACAGGAGCAACAGGACUUUUGCCGUGAGACCAAACGAACCGAACUAAAUGCGAGCCGAACGCCUUGUGCCGUGAGUAAGCGAGUGUGCGUUCUACAUGGGAAUGGCAAGCAAAACAAGCAGCGAACGAAUGUCGAAAACAGGAGUCCGCACGAAACCGUAGUGUGGCGCUAAGCAUUUAGCCGCGGACGAAGACGGACGGCCCGUGCAUGGCAAGGCGAUUGGUGAGAGCGCCCAUAUACAUAUACGCGCGUAUGUGUGUUUGUGUGUGUGUGUGUGUAGGUGUGCGGUGUUUCAGGCAGGCUUACAGCCUGAACCGACAUUUCGCAAUCACUGGCACAGUUCGAGUCGAGCCGUUGCGAGGAUAAGUCGCUGAACGCGGAAAGUGAACUCAGCCAGAACUGCGAACAGUGGAGACAAAUUGUACAUACACACACACAUACACAUGUGUGUGUUCCUGUGGCAACAGCAGGCAGCAGUGUACCUGUCAGUGCGUUAGUAUUGGUGUUAGUGUCGGUGCUAGUGGUGGUGGUGGUGUUGCGCAGGUGUUGGUGAUACGCGCUUUUUGCAAAAAUGUAUAAUUAUACUUUGAAACUUUAGUGCUGCUGCAGUGGUGUUAGUGUAUUGUAGCCGUGUGCGAUUGCUUUAAAGAUUAACUUUUAAAUUCAAGAAGAAAUAUUCACAAAAACAAACGAAUAAUUAAUUAUUAUAUGCAAGUAGUAUGCAAUCGAGAAAAUAUAAAA